AACGAACGCUGGCGGCAUGCCUAACACAUGCAAGUCGAACGAGACCUUCGGGUCUAGUUGCGCACGGGUGCGUAACGCGUGGGAACCUGCCCUUAGGUUCGGAAUAACUCCCCGAAAGGGGUGCUAAUACCGGAUAAUGUCUUCGGACCAAAGAUUUAUCGCCUUUGGAUGGGCCCGCGUUGGAUUAGCUAGUUGGUAGGGUAAAAGCCAACCAAGGAGACGAUCCAUAGCUGGUCUGAGAGGAUGAUCAGCCACACUGGGACUGAGACACGGCCCAGACUCCUACGGGAGGCAGCAGUGGGGAAUAUUGGACAAGGGGCGAAAGCCUGAUCCAGCCAUGCCGCGGGAGUGAUGAAGGCCUUAGGGUUGUAAAGCUCUUUUACACGGGAUGAUAAUGACAGUACCGGGAGAAUAAGCUCCGGCUAACUACGUG
rnacentral:rRNA from 1 species